UACGGAGGGUGCAAGCGUUACUCGGAAUCAUUGGGCGUAAAGCGCACGUAGGCGGUCUCUUAAGUCCGAUGUGAAAUCCCGGGGCUCAACCUCGGAUGGCCAUUGGAAACUGAGAGACUUGAGAGUGGAAGGGGUCAGUGGAAUUCCUGGUGUAGGAGUGAAAUCCGUAGAGAUCAGGAGGAACACCGGUGGCGAAGGCGACUGACUGGGCCAUUUCUGACGCUAAUGUGCAAAAGCGUGGGGAGCAAACAGGAUUAGAUACCCUGGUAGUCCACGCCGUAAACGAUGCUUGCUGGUUGUGGCGUUCCAUGGUGAAUGCCGUAACGAAGCCAACGCGUUAAGCAAGCCGCCUGGGGAGUACGGCCGCAAGGUUA
rnacentral:rRNA from 1 species